UGCAUGAGGGUUUGAAAACUUGUCAUGCCCUCGACCCAAAAUCGUGAGGGUUUAAGACGUGGCAAUUGCUGCAUACUCAUAGAGGAUUACCCCAUAAGCAUUCAAUAACAUCUAACAUGAUUUCAUGAUAGAGUAAAUCAACAGUGAGAUAAAAUUGAAGCAACUAAAAUUUCAAAUUUAAUAAUUAACAAUCCAAAAAAAAUAAGAGACUUCAAAAAUUUUGUUCACAACAAUCUAACUAUGUUCUCAAAAUAUUAAAUCAAAGAAAGAAACAUAUAGAAAUACUUCUAUUAUUUAUAAUGAGAAAACAAACACUAAUUCUAGGUUAUGUUGAAAAUUUUGUUCUUGCAUCUAAUAACACUCUCAUAAAAGUAUCUUGCUAGUAACUUGAUCUCUAAACCUGGAAAGAAAGAAAAGACCAAAUAAUAAGCUCAACAACCUAGUAAGUAAUCAAUACCUUAAAUGCAUAAUUCAAGUAAUAAAUUAAAUAAAAUUUUCUUGGUAAUACUAAGCAUAUAAGCAAAAUUAUUAUAUUUUCAUAAGAUAAUUCAUAUGAUUGAGAAUAUUCAUGUUUGUUCAAGUAUUCAUAUUCAUACUCAUAAGAAUAAUUUAAAAUAUCAUGGUACUCAACUCAACAUAUAAGACUAUGACCAUAUUUAUCCCCUUGUGGUAAGGUCAAAGAAGUGCACUUAUACCCUAUGAAGUGGACCGAUUAUCAUACUUAUAUCUUACAACGUAGAUCAUAAUAUUAUAUUUAUAUCAUGCGGUAAGGCCAAAAUAAUGAAUACCGGAGAGUCAAAGUACCAGCCU
rnacentral:lncRNA from 1 species